UACGGAAGGCAGCAGUGGGGAAUAUUGCACAAUGGGCGCAAGCCUGAUGCAGCCAUGCCGCGUGUAUGAAGAAGGCCUUCGGGUUGUAAAGUACUUUCAGUCGUGAGGAAGGUGUUAAGGUUAAUAACCUUAGCAAUUGACGUUAGCGACAGAAGAAGCACAGGCUAACUCCGUGCCAGCAGCCGCGGUAAUACGGAGGGUGCGAGCGUUAAUCGGAAUUACUGGGCGUAAAGGGCACGCAGGCGGUUAAUUAAGUUGGAUGUGAAAUCCCCGGGCUUAACCUGGGAAUGGCAUUCAAGACUGGUUAGCUAGAGUCUUGUAGAGGGGGUAGAAUUCCAUGUGUAGCGGUGAAAUGCGUAGAGAUGUGGAGGAAUACCGGUGGCGAAGGCGGCCCCUGGACAAAGACUGACGCUCAUGUGCGAAAGCGUGGGGAGCAAACAGGGAUUAGAUACC
rnacentral:rRNA from 1 species